ACGGGUGAGUAAUGCCUGGGGAUCUGCCCAGUCGAGGGGGAUAACUACUGGAAACGGUAGCUAAUACCGCAUACGCCCUACGGGGGAAAGCAGGGGACCUUCGGGCCUUGCGCGAUUGGAUGAACCCAGGUGGGAUUAGCUAGUUGGUGAGGUAACGGCUCACCAAGGCGACGAUCCCUAGCUGGUCUGAGAGGAUGAUCAGCCACACUGGAACUGAGACACGGUCCAGACUCCUACGGGAGGCAGCAGUGGGGAAUAUUGCACAAUGGGGGAAACCCUGAUGCAGCCAUGCCGCGUGUGUGAAGAAGGCCUUCGGGUUGUAAAGCACUUUCAGCGAGGAGGAAAGGUUGGUAGCUAAUAUCUGCCAGCUGUGACGUUACUCGCAGAAGAAGCACCGGCUAACUCCGUGCC
rnacentral:rRNA from 1 species